CAUGCAACGUUUCUAGCCAAGUUAACUGCCAGAAUAUGUGCUGAAGCAUUCCAAGAGAGUAAAAAAAUUGUUCCCAUAUCUUAAAGACAAAUAGUAUAUUUAUGUUGCAGCUUCCAGUGCUUUUGUUGAGAAAGGACACUGCUAGGUGGGUUGUAGUUUUGUGGCAGAAAGGAACGUGAGUUUGUUCACAUGGGAGCCAUGAAUACAUUAUGAACUGGGGC
rnacentral:lncRNA from 1 species